CUUUUUAAAUCUGAAUGGCGUUCUCUGUGCCUCCUGGACUUGGAUGUCCAUUUCCUUCCAAAGAUUAGGGAAGGUCUCAGCUAUAAUUUGUUCAAAUAAACUUUCUGCCCCUCACUCUCUCUCUCUUCAU